GCCUAGUUAGCUUAGUUGGUAGUGCGUCUGCCUUGUAAGCGCUAGCCCGCGGGUUCGAUUCCCACCCGGGGCG
rnacentral:tRNA from 1 species